rnacentral:rRNA from 1 species
GAUGAACGCUGGCGGCGUGCCUAAUACAUGCCAGUCGAGCGAACGGACGAGAAGCUUGCUUCUCUGAUGUUAGCGGCGGACGGGUGAGUAACACGUGGAUAACCUACCUAUAAGACUGGGAUAACUUCGGGAAACCGUAGCUAAUACCGGAUAAUAUUUUGAACCGCAUGGUUCAAAAGUGAAAGACGGUCUUGCUGUCACUUAUAGAUGGAUCCGCGCUGCAUUAGCUAGUUGGUAGGGUAACGGCUUACCAAGGCAACGAUGCAUAGCCGACCUGAGAGGGUGAUCGGCCACACUGGAACUGAGACACGGUCCAGACUCCUACGGGAGGCAGCAGUAGGGAAUCUUCCGCAAUGGGCGAAAGCCUGACGGGGCAACGCCGCGUGAGUGAUGAAGGUCUUCGGAUCGUAAAACUCUGUUAUUAGGGAAGAACAUAUGUGUAAGUAACUGUGCACAUCUUGACGGUACCUAAUCAGAAAGCCACGGCUAACUACGUG